CAUUUAAACAUAAGGUCUCUAGGAUGGGUCUUGUCAGGACCUUCAAGGUCUGAUAUCCUAUGGGUUCUGUCUGGUCUUUGAGCUGCAGCUGAUAGCCAUGCAUGCUCGUGGCCUCUGUCCAUCUCUCACAAGGAGAUUUGGACAACAAGGACUCAUGAAGGACAGCACAUGUCAAGGCUGGGGAGAAGAAGAGGAGCCAAGAAGGAGCAGCCAGGGAGUAUACAUUUGUGAUCCAGAAAUACAUUCAGCAUGAGGAACUGCUACCGAAGUAAGACAGCAAAUCAACAAUCUAAGUUUCUUCAUCAAGAAAUUAGAAAACAAAGACCAAAAUCAAACCAAAACAAGCCUGAGGAAGGAACUAAUGAAGGUAAGAGGAGAAAUCAAUGUGAUUGAAAACUAGAAAACGAG
rnacentral:lncRNA from 1 species